rnacentral:rRNA from 1 species
GACGAACGCUGGCGGCGUGCCUAAUACAUGCAAGUAGAACGCUGAAGGAGGAGCUUGCUUCUCUGGAUGAGUUGCGAACGGGUGAGUAACGCGUAGGUAACCUGCCUGGUAGCGGGGGAUAACUAUUGGAAACGAUAGCUAAUACCGCAUAAGAGUAGAUGUUGCAUGACAUUUGCUUAAAAGGUGCAAUUGCAUCACUACUAGAUGGACCUGCGUUGUAUUAGCUAGUUGGUGGGGUAACGGCUCACCAAGGCGACGAUACAUAGCCGACCUGAGAGGGUGAUCGGCCACACUGGGACUGAGACACGGCCCAGACUCCUACGGGAGGCAGCAGUAGGGAAUCUUCGGCAAUGGACGGAAGUCUGACCGAGCAACGCCGCGUGAGUGAAGAAGGUUUUCGGAUCGUAAAGCUCUGUUGUAAGAGAAGAACGAGUGUGAGAGUGGAAAGUUCACACUGUGACGGUAUCUUACCAGAAAGGGACGGCUAACUACGUG